rnacentral:rRNA from 1 species
AUCUGCCCUCGACAUCGGGAUAGCCCGGGGAAACCCGGAUUAAUACCGGAUAGCCUCUCCGGCCUUCGGGCUGGAAAGAAAAGGUAGCUUCGGCCUCCGGUCGAGGAGGAGCCCGCGGCGGAUUAGCUAGUUGGCGGGGUAACGGCCCACCAAGGCGACGAUCCGUAGCUGGUCUAAGAGGACGAUCAGCCACACUGGGACUGAGACACGGCCCAGACUCCUACGGGAGGCAGCAGUGGGGAAUCUUGCGCAAUGGGCGAAAGCCUGACGCAGCGACGCCGCGUGC